GCCCAGGACACUGCGUCUGCACAUUCAGCUCCUCUCUCCCAUUAACUCUCGCGAGUGUGACUCGCUUGCCGUGCGGAGCGUUGCCAUGUUAACCCAUGGCAGUGCUCUGACGGCCACCGGUCAUGCGAGAGUUAAUGGGAGAGAAGAGCUGAAUGUGCAGAUGCAGUGUCCUGG